CUUCUUCCAAUCUUCCAAUCUCCUCACUUCCAACCCCAUGGUAACAGAACGUCACUAGCUUGUCCCCUUCUGUUUUCCUCCCAUUUUGCCAAAAUCUAAGUCUGAAACUCCAUUCUUCGUGAGGGGUUUACAGUGCUUAGAAGCUGCCUCGUGUUCCUGCAUUAGGAUAUGACUUUAACUAAAAGAGGGAGAGGUAGACCCCGAGGUGGAAGAUCAUGUGGUCAAGAUAGAUCGUCAUGCAAAACAAAACCUAGAAACACAAUGCCAAUUUCUACAUUUAACCUUAGAGACGAUAUGUUAGGUGACUCAGAUGACUCAACCGAGCCACCUGAUGUUGUGCCAAUGACAGAAUUUCUUGAUGCCGGGCUCCAUUCUCCAAUUAGCAGAAAUGAUAUUGAAGUACCUAUGCGGAAAUGUGUGCGCGGACCAUCUAAGUGCACAGAAUUUGAUAAAAUUCGAAAAUAUGAAAAAAUAUUUUUGAAAAUAAAGGAUGGGGAGACAGCCCCUUGUUGUGAGAACACUAUGUUGUAUACAACAAGGG